GCCCGGUUGACGCUCACUGGCCGGAUGAUGGCGGUGUCUCCAGAAGAAGUAGAAUUUGCCAAGCAGGCCAUGUUUUCAAGUGACAAUGACCAGCACCCACUGAGCACCUGCUCUCUGCCAGUGUUUUAUGCAUACAUCACUGCUCCCCACAUAGCCCUAUGAUCCGAGCACCAUCAACAUCACCCACAGGACAGACACCCAGGGAUGAGGAAGUGGCCUCGUCAGUAUGAAUGGUUCUUUAUGAAGAUGAGGAUAGAACAUAUCUGGCUUCAGAAAUGGUAU